CUUAGAAGCAGCCAUCCUUGAAAGAGUGCGUAAUAGCUCACUGGUCAAGUGAUUCCGCGCCGACAAUGUAGCGGGGCUCAAGCGUACCGCCGAAGUCGUGUCAUUGCAGCAGGUGGUCCAACGAUCGUUGGGAUGGGUAGGGGAGCGUCGCGUGCCGGGGGAAGCAGCCGUGUAAGCGAGUUGCGGAUGGUUCACGAGCGAGAAUGCAAGCAUGAGUAGCGAUACACACGUGGGAAACGUGUGCGC
rnacentral:rRNA from 1 species